UCUAAUAUGGCAGAAUAGUGCAAUGGACUUAAACCCCAUACAUAAAGGAACCUUUUUUUAGAA
rnacentral:tRNA from 1 species